rnacentral:pre_miRNA from 1 species
AGGAGGAACAACCCCAUUGGUUGUUGCAGCUCUGGAGCCCUGGAUUCAGCUCCCGCAGUAACUCCGGAGCUCUGGGUCUACAGGGCCUGGAGGCACAGGGGCGGG